AUCCAUCUGACGAGUCCCAAAUAGGACGAAUGCACGUCCUGGAU
rfam:Schistosoma rodhaini strain Burundi genome assembly, scaffold: SROB_scaffold0001041